rnacentral:rRNA from 1 species
AUUGAACGCUGGCGGCAGGCCUAACACAUGCAAGUCGAACGAGUGGCGGACGGGUGAGUAAUGUCUGGGAAAAUGUCCGAUGGAGGGGGAUAACUACUGGAAACGGUAGCUAAUACCGCAUAACAUAGGAUGUGCCCUGAUGGGAUUAGCUAGGUGGUGGGGUAACGGCUCACCUAGGCGACCAUCCCUAGCUGGUCUGAGAGGAUGACCGGCCACCCUGGAACUGAGCCACGGUCCAGACUCCUACGUGAGGCGGCAGUGGGGAAUAUUGCCCAAUGGGCGCAAGCCUGAUGCAGCCAUGCCGCGUGUAUGAAGAAGGCCUUCGGGUUGUAAAGUACUUUCAGCGAGGAGGCGUUACUCGCAGAAGAAGCACCGGCUAACUCCGUGCCAGCAGCCGCGGUAAUUC